rnacentral:rRNA from 1 species
CAGCACCUCAAGUGGUCAGGAUGAUUAUUGGGCCUAAAGCAUCCGUAGCCGGCGCUGUAAGUUUUCGGUUAAAUCUGUACGCUCAACGCACAGGCUGCCGGGAAUACUGCAGCGCUAGGGAGUGGGAGAGGUAGACGGUACUCGGUAGGAAGGGGUAAAAUCCUUUGAUCUAUUGAUGACCACCUGUGGCGAAGGCGGUCUACCAGAACACGUCCGACGGUGAGGGAUGAAAGCUGGGGGAGCAAACCGGAUUAGAUACCCGUGUAGUCC